AUUGUAUCCACGAUUGGGGAAUUUUCCGCAAUGGGCGAAAGCCUGACGGAGCAAUACCGCGUGAGGGAGGAAGGUCUGUGGAUUGUAAACCUCUUCUGAUAGGGAAGAAGUUCUGACGGUACCUAUCGAAUCAGCAUCGGCUAACUCCGUGCCAGCAGCCGCGGUAAUACGGAGGAUGCAAGCGUUAUCCGGAUUUAUUGGGCGUAAAGCGUCCGUAGGUGGUUAUUCAAGUCUAUUGUCAAAGCCUGGGGCUUAACCCUGGAGAGGCGGUGGAAACUGAAUAACUAGAGUGCGGUAGGGGCAGAGGGAAUUCCCAGUGUAGCGGUGAAAUGCGUAGAUAUUGGGAAGAACACCGGUGGCGAAAGCGCUCUGCUGGGCCUGCACUGACACUGAGGGACGAAAGCUAGGGGAGCGAAAGGGAUUAGAUACCCCUGUAGUCAAUCGUGGAUACAAU
rnacentral:rRNA from 1 species